rnacentral:tRNA from 1 species
GGCUCCAUAGUGUAGUGGUUAGCACAUCUGCCUUACAUGCAGAAGGCCCUGGGUUCGCGCCCCAGUGGAGCUA